UCUUCCCACAGAUCAUGGCCUGUGAUUUUGAUCAUCAACAACGAUCGCACAUUGAUUUUUACCCCCGAAAGAAUGUAGUACGUAGUUUUCAGUUUCUUUGUUUCCGUCGAGCUUGUUUUUCUUUUUCAAUUAGAUCUCCAAUCGAAGAAAGAAUGAAGAAGAAAUGGAUAAGAAAUUUGGUAGAGAGAAAUUGAUCAUACAUCUUCAGCAAGUUUGGACAUGGUUUCAAUGCUUCCACUGUUGCCACCACUUCGGAAUUUAGGGUUUGGAUUAGGGCUUAAUAGAAAUUUGGUAGAGAGACUGGUAAUAUUCGUUAGGGUAAUCUGAAUCUUGGAAUCUAAGACCCAGCAAGAGGCUGUUCUAUGUCGAUGUACCUUGAAAGAUACCUACGGAAAGAAGAGGUUGAGGCAAAAGUGAAAAGGCUUUGAAGAAUCAGAAUUUAUCACUAGUGGAGAGGACAAUGCAAUGUACAAAUUACUCUAGUGCUGCUGUCAAGAACAACCAUGAAAUUCUGAGUUGAGAUCAUACCUUAACUGUCUACUAUUUAUGUAGAUUUGUAUGAGAAUAUAUAUCAACAAAGUCGCUCGGUGUGCUCCUAUGCUAUUUGUGUGCCUUGGAGGAGCUUGAGAAAUAGAAGUGGUUGUAACUUGGCCGCCAAGAGCGCAAAAGCUAUGAAGGAAUCAAAUUUUGACAUCAGUGGAGGGGAUAAUAAAAACUGAAAUCCUUGGGGCGACAUCAAAUGUGGAACCCAAAAACUGUAAGAAGUUACAUUGAAGAAAUGAUUAGUUUAAGGCAAGUGAAGGUGCUAAUCAGUUUAAAUCAUAUAUUCUUGAAGAAAUGUAUACAGCCAUUCAACAUGGUUAACGACAUUUUGUACAUCACUUACUUUUUGGAGUGCUAAAGGCUCCGCAGUCCAUCGUCUGUUUCUUUUUGUAAAAUGGAAAAUUAAUGCAAAUAUGAAAUAGUACAGCACAACUUAGUGAACAUCGAUCUUUUUAUGUAUGGUUCACACCGCAGGCAUUGAACAUUACUCUGUCGGGUCUUUUAUUUCUUCACAUACUGUUGUUUUUUUCACAUCAUUUCCUCACAAGUAAAAAGGGGUUAGAGAUGAUCGUUGAUCCAUCAUUAGGGUCAAAAUAUUUCAUUCAAUAGAUUUUUCUUCUAUUUGCUUUA